AUGGUGGGCGUCAAUGGCAAUGUGAGAAAGUGCCUCACAUCUCAUGUCAUGUUGGUUUUAUGGGAGAUUUGAAAUGAGUGGAUUGCAAGAGUGUUUAGGAAGGUUCCCUCCAUGCGAAAUGUAAUCACGUCCAGAAUUAAGACGGAGGUUAGACUUUGGGGGUUGGCAGGGGCCAAACAUUUGAGUUCUCUCAUGCCGCGAGAGUAUGCUUAUCAGUUUGGGGCCGUUUAUGGGCUGUCGGUCAUGUAA
rnacentral:rRNA from 1 species